GUUAGAUAGAGCAGGGACAGUCAAAAACUGUGGGAUAAUACUUCUAUGGUGUCCAGCAUGGUUAGUCAGGUUGACAGAAGUGAAAGAUGGUCUGAUGGUACAAUGAUGUACAAAUGAUACUCUUUAACAAGUUUAACAUGUCAAAGUGUAAAAUGUUCUGUGGAUUCAUAUGUUGAGAAUGCCAAUGUUGAUCUGUAUGACUUAAUGAAACACAGAUGUUUAUACCUUCAGAUAUAUACCUGUGAAAUCUUCAGUGUCACCGUUCAGCUAUUGUUCAAGAUCAGUGUCUGCAGCUUGCACAGUUUAGUAUAGAGGAACCUUCUGAAUCAAUUUUUGUUACAUAUUUGCUGUUAUUGUAGGACGCAUAUGUAGAGAGCAACAAGUCUUGUCCAACUGUGCAUGUAAAUGUGAUUCAGAAACUUUGAGAAUAUGUAAACAUUACACUGUUAUAAUUUUCAAAAUACUGUG